rnacentral:lncRNA from 1 species
CUAGUCUAGGGCAGAGUGUGUUGUAUGCAGCCCCAGUAGGGAUGAAGGAGACAUGGAACACUGACCACACCUCAUGAUGGAUGGAUGGAAAGUGAAGGAUGGCGCCAUGCUGGCCAGCCCUGAUGUUGCAUCUUACAGGGCAAAAGGGUCCCGACCUCCCAGUAAGAGAAGACUUAAGGGGUGGUGCCAGCAUGACCUGGAUGCAGCCCUGCCAACAAGCCUCCACUGUGAAGCAGACUGCCUUGGGAAGUUCCCAUCGUUAUACCAGAGCCAGAAGCCUUCUAACCAGGGCUCCUUAUGGAGGAUAAUUCAAAGACUGGAGGAAAGGCCAUACCUUCCCAUCUGGCGGCCAUACCUAGUGUACUCUGAGACAGACACAGACGCCCCUUCCUGGGCCCUAGUCUCCCCACUGUUUGUCCUAGUCUUUCAGGAGACACACCUCUACCUUCCCAGACAGAGCCCCUCUUGUUCCCAUAAACCCCCACUAAAUCUCUUCACACUGAGCCUUGGGACUCCCUUGCAUGUCACUGUCCCAUUUUAGCAUACAUUGUCCUUCCUGCUGCGAAUGGUCUCUCCCAUUGGCCGGCCUGUCAACUGCUACUAACCUGGCUUCAGUGUCCCCUGUUACUGCUGUUUCAGGACCUGGCAAUCAAGGCAGAAGAGGCCUUGCCCAACCCAGCCCUUUUGAACUGUCAAGAUAGGAAACCUGGGACUACCAAGAUCUCUCAGGAGGGAAAGGAAUGCACUUGCCUUCAAGUCUCACAGUCUGAGUUUGAUUCUGGGACCCAAGUUGAGUGAGAAAAAAUUCAAUUCCUG